AGGUAUCUCUUCAGAAAAUUCUACCAAAUCACAACAAUAUCGUAAUGCUCUUCAUCAGAUAGGUGAAGUCAUUGUUUACAGAUUUCAAAGGAUCUGGUUGUACAAGGAAUGGAUAACUACAUUGUUACCAAUAGGCAGAAAACAAAGAAAACUUGUGAACACUUUGCAUAGCUUCACAGAAAAAAUCAUUGCAGAAAGGAAACAGUAUCACAAACGCACUGAUGAUUUUCGAUAUUUAAAAAACAUCGAAAAUGAUACAUAUGCAGAAGUAGAUGAUACAAACAUCAUUGGCAGUAUGUAACAGUAUAAAGUAAUGGAUCAUAUGUGAUCAUGUAAUCGUAA